rnacentral:rRNA from 1 species
AACGAACGCUGGCGGCGUGCCUAACACAUGCAAGUCGAACGGAAUGAGGGGGCUUGCUCCUUCAUUUAGUGGCGCACGGGUGAGUAACGCGUAGAUAAUCUGCCUGAUGAUCUGGGAUAACAUCUCGAAAGGGGUGCUAAUACCGGAUAAGCCCACGGGGUCUUUGGAUUCUGCGGGAAAAGGGGGGGACCUUCGGGCCUUCUGUCAUCAGAUGAGUCUGCGUACCAUUAGCUAGUUGGUAGGGUAAUGGCCUACCAAGGCGACGAUGGUUAGCUGGUCUGAGAGGAUGAUCAGCCACACUGGAACUGAGACACGGUCCAGACUCCUACGGGAGGCAGCAGUGGGGAAUUUUGCGCAAUGGGCGAAAGCCUGACGCAGCAACGCCGCGUGAGUGAUGAAGGCUUUCGGGUCGUAAAGCUCUGUCAAGGGGAAAGAAGUGUAUUGUGGUUAAUACCCACGAUACUUGACGGUACCCCUAAAGGAAGCACCGGCUAACUCCGUGCCAGCAGCCGCGGUAAUACGGAGGGUGCAAGCGUUGUUCGGAUUUAUUGGGCGUAAAGCGCGUGUAGGCGGUUUAUUAAGUCUGAUGUGAAAGCCCUGGGCUCAACCCAGGAAGUGCAUUGGAUACUGGUAGACUUGAAUACGGGAGAGGGCAGUGGAAUUCCUGGUGUAGGAGUGAAAUCCGUAGAUAUCAGGAGGAACACCGGUGGCGAAGGCGGCUGCCUGGACCGAUAUUGACGCUGAGACGCGAAAGCGUGGGUAGCAAACAGGAUUAGAUACCCUGGUAGUCCACGCCGUAAACGAUGAGUACUAGGUGUUGCGGGUAUUGACCCCUGCAGUGCCGCAGCUAACGCAUUAAGUACUCCGCCUGGGAAGUACGGUCGCAAGACUAA